rnacentral:rRNA from 1 species
AGUGAACGCUGGCGGUAGGCCUAACACAUGCAAGUCGAACGGCAGCACAGUAAGAGCUUGCUCUUACGGGUGGCGAGUGGCGGACGGGUGAGGAAUACAUCGGAAUCUACUUUUUCGUGGGGGAUAACGUAGGGAAACUUACGCUAAUACCGCAUACGACCUACGGGCGAAAGCAGGGGCUCUUCGGACCUUGCGCGAUUGAAUGAGCCGAUGUCGGAUUAGCUAGUUGGCGGGGUAAAGGCCCACCAAGGCGACGAUCCGUAGCUGGUCUGAGAGGAUGAUCAGCCACACUGGAACUGAGACACGGUCCAGACUCCUACGGGAGGCAGCAGUGGGGAAUAUUGGACAAUGGGCGCUAGCCUGAUCCAGCCAUACCGCGUGGGUGAAGAAGGCCUUCGGGUUGUAAAGCCCUUUUGUUGGGAAAGAAAAGCAGCAGGUUAAUACCCCGCUGUUCUGACGGUACCCAAAGAAUAAGCACCGGCUAACUUCGUG